rnacentral:rRNA from 1 species
GACGAACGCUGGCGGCGUGCUUAACACAUGCAAGUCGAACGGAAAGGCCCUGCUUUUGUGGGGUGCUCGAGUGGCGAACGGGUGAGUAACACGUGAGUAACCUGCCCUUGACUUUGGGAUAACUUCAGGAAACUGGGGCUAAUACCGGAUAGGAGCUCCUGCUGCAUGGUGGGGGUUGGAAAGUUUCGGCGGUUGGGGAUGGACUCGCGGCUUAUCAGCUUGUUGGUGGGGUAGUGGCUUACCAAGGCUUUGACGGGUAGCCGGCCUGAGAGGGUGACCGGCCACAUUGGGACUGAGGUACGGCCCAGACUGCUACGGGAGGCAGCAGUGGGGAAUAUUGCACAAUGGGCGGAAGCCUGAUGAAGCAACGCCGCGUGCGGGAUGACGGCCUUCGGGUUGUAAACCGCUUUCGCCUGUGACGAAGCGUGAGUGACGGUAAUGGGUAAAGAAGCACCGGCUAACUACGUG